GCGAGUCGUGCUUGGGUAGCUCGGUUGGUAGAGCACUUGCCCUCGAAAGGCAAAGGUCCCGAGUUCGAGCCUCGGCCCCCGCA